rnacentral:rRNA from 1 species
UACGUAGGGGGCAAGCGUUGUCCGGAUUUAUGGGGCGUAAAGCGCUCGCAGGUGGUCCGCUGCGUCGUGCGUGAAAGACCCCGGCUCAACUGGGGGAUGUCGUGCGAUACGGGCGGACUGGAGGCCAGUAGGGGGAUGCGGAAUUCCGGGUGUAGUGGUGGAAUGCGUAGAGAUCCGGAGGAACACCAGCGGCGAAGGCGGCAUCCUGGACUGGUCCUGACACUCAGGAGCGAAAGCGUGGGGAGCGAUCCGG